GGAACUGCAACCGGGGCGAGAACGACUGCCGGUUCGCUCACCCCGCCGACAGCGCCAUGAUCGACACCAACGAUAACACCGUUACGGUCUGCAUGGAUUACAUCAAAGGGAGAUGCUCACGGGAAAAGUGCAAAUACUUCCACCCUCCAGCACAUCUGCAAGCCAAGAUCAAGGCUGCCCAGUACCAGGUUAACCAGGCUGCAGCUGCCCAGGCAGCAGCGACGGCGGCUGCCAUGGGAAUUCCUCAAGCUGUACUUCCCCCAUUACCAAAGAGGGCUGCGCUUGAAAAAACCAAUGGUGCCACCGCAGUGUUCAAUGCUGGUAUUUUCCAAUACCAGCAAGCUCUUGGCAACAUGCAGGUGCAGGAGGACACAGGCUUUCUCCACCAGAUA
rnacentral:misc_RNA from 1 species